AUAUAUUUUAUACACACAAUGGGUGUUGGGUUGUGAUAUAAAUUAUAAUCUUUUUGUGGAUUGUGGUUAACUAAAGGGUUUAAAAUUUAUCAUUUUAGUUGGUUUCUUUGUUCUCUGGUGACUGGUUCAGGUAUUUAAUCUUCGUUUCCGUAUCUGAGUAAAUGGUGCUGAUAAACAUGCAUACUCUCUUGGAAUGUGGUAAUAACUAAGUGCCCGAGUGAAUGACCACUCUCAAAAAUUGGUACAUUAUCUUAUGAUUCUAGUGAUAUCAGAU
rnacentral:lncRNA from 1 species